AUUGAACGCUGGCGGCAGGCCUAACACAUGCAAGUCGAGCGGAUGAAGGGAGCUUGCUCCUGGAUUCAGCGGCGGACGGGUGAGUAAUGCCUAGGAAUCUGCCUGGUAGUGGGGGAUAACGUCCGGAAACGGGCGCUAAUACCGCAUACGUCCUGAGGGAGAAAGUGGGGGAUCUUCGGACCUCACGCUAUCAGAUGAGCCUAGGUCGGAUUAGCUAGUUGGUGGGGUAAAGGCCUACCAAGGCGACGAUCCGUAACUGGUCUGAGAGGAUGAUCAGUCACACUGUAGCUCAGAGACGGGCCACACUCUCCCGGGGGGCCGGCAGGGGGAAUUUUUGACCAUGGGCCGAAGCCUUAUCCCGGCCAGGCGGGGGUGGUGAGGAGGUCUUCGGAUUGUUAAACACUUUAAGGUUGGAGGGAGGGGAGUAAGUUUAUUACUUGCUGUUUUGACCGUACCAACAGGAUUAGCACCGGCUAACUUCGUG
rnacentral:rRNA from 1 species